AUAGUCAUCCAUAUCCGCCAUUAGAGACGUGGUUCAAGGUUCCACCACAAUCUUCUAAAUCAGCCAUUAGAGAGAUUGACGAUUCGGUUGUUUUGGUUUGAUUAAGUCCUUUCAUUCUGAAAACUCCUUGAAAUCAAAUAUACGUGUGGAGUUUCUAUGUCGGUCUUCUUCAUGACGUUUCGUUUCUGAUUCAUCUGUUACAUUACAGGAUUAGCUGAUUCGUCGCCAUUAACAACGUUUUUAUUCCUUGGAUCCACACUACCCACGAUCUCUCAUUCAACACUUCUUAUCUCUCUCUCAGGCGGUGAAACUUCACCUAUAAAAAUUCCGGACGUUGUUCAUCCACUGUGGAGGUCAGGCGUCUGUUGGGAUUCACGGCGUUGAUGAGUUUCUAAGCUGAUCGCUAUAAAAAAAUCAACCGACGGAGGAACACCAGGCUUAGAUAACGGCGUCACUCUCCAAAGUGAUAUCUCUUUUCGGCAGAUCUUAAACUAGACAACGAGCUCGCGAGACGACAAAAACUGGAGGUGGAGUAAGAGAUUGGAAACAGAGAAGAUAGGAAUAGAAGCAACAUUCAUAGCCGUUGUGUUAAAGAGACAGAAAACAGAGCAGUACGGUUGAUCUGCAUCUAGAAUUUACUUCCCGGCAGGCACCAGUCCAUCGGCGUCCUCCUUAAUCACACAACUACAGUCAGACAACAAAAAGAUGGUUUGUCUUCUACAGCUAAUGGAAGAGCCACAACCAGUCGUCAACGAUAAACUUCGCACCGUCACCACCUGUCUCCUAUGCGUCUUCUCAUAAAUGUUACACCAAGAGCAACCAGACUGUGUAGCUAGCCAAAACUUCCUUGAAAAGAAGUGCGUCAAUAAGGAGGGCUCAAUUUGUUCUGCAACCAAAUAUGGGGGUAUCCAGAAAUUUGAAAGUCUAAAGAGCUUAAUGCAUACGUACUAAUUUCAUAGCCACAGAGCGUACUAGAACUCAUCCCCUGCUUUGUAAGUCAUUUACAUCUCCCCUCUUAUAUUUUUAUAGUGUGCUGGGAGAUGAUAAUAUGCUCUUGAUGACAUGCUUGGAGCUGACGCGGUGAAAAUUAACCCUACUGAUGGGUUUAUAAUUGGAUCCCCUGAGAAAACAGCUGAGGGAGAUGCUGCUGAAAUGCUUGACGGAAGUGCUGUCGAGCCUGCUCUUCCACCUAUUGAACCUGUCUCAGGUGGAUCACAACAGCUGAGAAUGGACCAUUAAUGGAGGAGAAUCAGAAAGGGAAAAAUCCAUGCAUUACUCAACGUCAAUGCCUAAGAACCCUAGCUCAAGCCGAAGACCCAUGGACCUUAGCUAAAUAUGUAUUGACACUGCUCUCCUAUUUUGCUCCCUUUGCAAUAUACCAUCAGUAUUUACAGGUAGUAUCAUAUGAAGAAAGUUUUUCAAUGCGUGGUCUACAUGUUGUUUAGCAUAUGCUUUGUUUUUUAUGGUUUUCUGUUUUAGGCUUUUUCCAACAAAUGUUACAUUUCUCAGAUUAAUAAAUAAUUAUUCCUCA